rnacentral:rRNA from 1 species
AGAAUCAACGCUGGCGGCGUGCCUAACACAUGCAAGUCGAACGAGAAAGGGCAGCAAUGCCUGAGUAAAGUGGCGCACGGGUGAGUAACACGUGACUAACCUACCUUUGAGUGGGGGAUAACCUAGGGAACCUGGGCUAAUACCGCAUAAUACCUACGGGUCAAGGCGAGCAAUCGCGCUUAAAGAGGGGGUCGCGGCAGAUUAGCUAGUUGGUGAGGUAAUGGCUCACCAAGGCGAUGAUCUGUA